GACGAACGCUGGCGGCGUGCCUAAUACAUGCAAGUCGAACGCUCUCGACCUUCGGGUCACAUGAGAGAGUGGCGAACGGGUGCGUAACACGUGAGAAACCUGCCCCAAAGACGGGAAUAACUCGAGGAAACUCGUGCUAAUACCCGAUGCCCUCAUCAGGCCGCAUGGCCAGAUGAGGAAAGGCUCCGGCGCUUUGGGAGGGUCUCGCGGCCUAUCAGCUUGUUGGUGAGGUAACGGCUCACCAAGGCAUCGACGGGUAGCUGGUCUGAGAGGACGAUCAGCCACACUGGGACUGAGACACGGCCCAGACUCCUACGGGAGGCAGCAGUAGGGAAUCUUGCGCAAUGGGCGAAAGCCUGACGCAGCAACGCCGCGUGGGGGAUGAAGGCCUUCGGGUCGUAAACCCUUUUCAG
rnacentral:rRNA from 1 species